GGGAGCACAGGAUCCUGGGCUGUGUCCCCCGGCGUCCUGGGAUCCCGGGCCUGCGCUGCUGGAAUCGUGCUCCUGGAGCACAGCUCCC
rnacentral:pre_miRNA from 1 species